AUGGUGACUCUUCAGCUCCCAAACAUAAUCAACUAUAUCCCUCUCGUUUCACUUUUCUCACUCUCUCGUCCGAUGGAGAUUUCCGUUUACUUGCUUCGCCGCGCCGGAAAUUCCUUCGGCGGCGGCGGAGGUCCAACCAGCCUCAAAUCAUCAUCUCUCUGCUUGUCUUCCCUCCUUCUUUCACACUCUCAUCUUAGAUCUCUCAGAAAACAAGCCUAA